rnacentral:rRNA from 1 species
GCGAACGGGUGAGUAACGCGUAGAUAAUCUACCUUUAAGUGGGGGACAACUUGGGGAAACUCAAGCUAAUACCGCAUAAUCUUGCUAAUGUUGAUUAGUAAGCAAAGGGGCCUUUAAAGCCUCGCUUUUAGAUGAGUCUGCGUCCUAUUAGCUAGUUGGUGGGGUAAAAGCCUACCAAGGCGACGAUAGGUAGCCGGCCUGAGAGGGUGGUCGGCCACACUGGGACUGAGACACGGCCCAGACUCCUACGGGAGGCAGCAGCUAAGAAUCUUCCACAAUGGGCGAAAGCCUGAUGGAGCGACACCGCGUGAGUGAAGAAGGUCGAAAGAUUGUAAAACUCUUUUAUAGGUGAGGAAUAAGUAGAGUAGGAAAUGACUCUAUGAUGACGUUAACCUAUGAAUAAGCCCCGGCUAAUUACGUGCCAGCAGCCGCGGUAAUACGUAAGGGGCAAGCGUUGUUCGGAAUUAUUGGGCGUAAAGAGUACGUAGGCGGUUCUACAGGUCUCUUAUAAAAGACCACGGCUUAACUGUGGAAAUAUAAGAGAAAC